CUUUAAUUUGCAUUUCAGGCAGGAAAGAAUAUUAGGUUCUCCCACUCUAAUCUCUUUUGGGGAUCUUCGCUCGCCCCAAUUUUACCUUCUUUUCAAAUACCCCAGCACGUAAGUGAGUGUAAGGAAAAUAGGAGGGUCUGGGGGUCCUCUCCCAGAAAACUUUUAUAUUUUUUAUGCUCAUGCAAUGACAGCAUUUCUGGAAUUUUCCGGAGCAUCCACAAGGGUAACGAGUAAAUGAGAAGACUGUUUUAAGGCUACUUUUGUUAGUUUGGUGAUUGCACAUUUGUCAGCCGGUUUAAGAACUGCACAAAUAGAUUUAGAACUGCACAUUUUGUGUAGAACUGCACGCUAAAAUAAACCGCUGGUCUUCGAAUUUGAAGUUGCAUUUUUCGCAGCUGCUGUUCCUGGUUAGGUCUAAUUUUUUUUUGGGGGGGGGCAUUGAAAAUUUUACAAACUUGGAAGGGGGGCGUCGAAAAUUUACCAAUAACCUCAAUAGGGGCCCUGUACAAAUAUGAGCUUCUUCAAGACAUCUUCAUCCCCCCUCGGUGUAAUAAAUGUACUUUCCCUAACAAAGUGCGCAAUUGCUCCGGAGCCCAAGAGCAGAAUACGUGGCUACCAAAUUUCCCCCGUUUGUCGUUGAUAUCUACAUUAUAAGGGAAAAGAAAUUCCCAAGUCAUUUUAACAUAUGAGAACAAUGCGAGGUAAAACUAAAAUUGAGCAGAUAUCUUAAAUCACCAGAAUUAACAUGUGUGUAAUGUGUAUGCAUGCUUGCGUAUUGGCAAUUCCAGCUUUUCGUUUAUGCCUGCAGGGGAUGAUGGGAAGUAAGAUAUCAUAUUGCCGAUUAUGCUGAAAAAAUUCAAUAAAAACUACCGAAACAACCGAAAUAUUUCAAUAUUUACAAGUAUAAGCUAUCACUCCGUGUUUACACGGCCACCAUUUUUAUUUUUUCAGCAUAAUCAGCAAUGUGAUACCUUACUUCCCAUCGUCCCCUGCACGCAUAAACCGCUAAAAGCUGGAAUUGCCUAUUGAACAAAAUAUUGUGAAUAUCAAUUCGGCUUAAAUGUAGAUCAGUAUGUUUACAGUAGAUCUGUUUGGUCACGUAAGCAAAACCGAUAACAAUCAAGUAAAAAAAGAAGAAAAAACAAAAAGAAAAAGAAAGAAAAAAAGAAAAAGAAACUAAACAAAAAGAAACACUAACCUUCGAGCAUCACAAGUGUCCUUUUCAGUGGCAUCAGUUUGUGGACAAUAUGUUCAUUUCGUCACGUCAACUGUCGCUUAGUCCUUCACUUGGACGUGUCAGCUAGUCGUUUCUUGAGUUCGUCGAGGCGUGUUUUAAGGGGGUCCAAGGGCAACAUUUUCCCGACAAACACAAUUUUUUCCGACAUAAAUAAUGGGGAGUGGGGAGGGUGAAUAGGGAUAUUCAAAUUCGCUGAUCCACCUAAAAUUGAAGCAAAAUCCGCCGACCGACAAUGGUCUUGUUUAAAUUUGAUCCACUAAAAGCUCUACUAUAUGGAGUCAGAAUCCAGGAUCCGAAUUAACUGAAUUGCAAGCUAAAUCUGAGCAAAAUAUUGGAUAAAUCCGCAAUCUGCUGUACUAUAAGAUCCGCAAAUCCGUGUAAAAUAUUUGCCAGAUCCAAAAUCCGAACAAUUUUUUCGGUGAAAUCCGACGAUCCAAAAACUUAUUCACCCGCUCCAAUAAUAUAUGAAAUCAUAUUGAAUUAAAUAUUGACUUUUCUAUAAACUUAUAUUGGGAAAACACAAACUGAGUCCGAUUUUCGAUAUUUCAUCUACUAGUAUAUUUUUUAUUCAAACAUGUUUCGCAUUGUCAAACAACGAAGGAAAGCUAAGUAAAAUUCCCGCUGGUAUAUGCCGGCCCUUUUUCCGGGAGCAAAGUGCCCUUUUCUUGCAUGAAAAAUGUCAUUAAGAUUGCAUUUUUUGCCCAAAGGGCAUUUUUGAAAACUUGAAUUUAUGUUAUUUCCGGAAACUUUUUUUCAUUUCCGGGAAAAAUAUCAUAUAUCCGG